AACGAACGCUGGCGGCAUGCCUAACACAUGCAAGUCGAACGAGACCUUCGGGUCUAGUGGCGCACGGGUGCGUAACGCGUGGGAACCUGCCCUUAGGUUCGGAAUAACUCCCCGAAAGGGGUGCUAAUACCGGAUAAUGUCUUCGGACCAAAGAUUUAUCGCCUUUGGAUGGGCCCGCGUUGGAUUAGCUAGUUGGUAGGGUAAAAGCCUACCAAGGCGACGAUCCAUAGCUGGUCUGAGAGGAUGAUCAGCCACACUGGGACUGAGACACGGCCCAGACUCCUACGGGAGGCAGCAGUGGGAAAUAGUGGACAAGGGGCGAAAGCCAGAUCCAUCAAUGCCGCGUGAGUGAUGAAGGCCUUAGGGUUGUAAAGCUCUUUUACCCGGGAUGAUAAUGACAGUACCGGGAGAAUAAGCUCCGGCUAACUCCG
rnacentral:rRNA from 1 species